ensembl:lncRNA
CACACACACACACACACACACACACACACACACACACACACACACACACACUCACACAGAUGAAUGAGCACACACACAAGCUAAACAAACCACGGCGUCAACUGUCUUGAUCUCGUUAGUAUGAUGUGUUUACGAUGACGCACAGGAUAUUUUUUCUCUGGCCUCUCUUUUUUUAUCUUACUUUUCAGUCUUGCAUCGUUGGUUCCGGACAACCAAGGUCCUCUUCUGGACUCCUCUCAGCUCGCUGUUCUCCACGACGCUAGAAGGAGACACGGAGAUGUGUGACGUCACCAUCCCAUUAUUAUUCAUACUGGCUGCACCACAGGGGAGCUCUGGAGGGAUCUCCACCUAACCCCAACACUUCCUAAACUCUGGGGAUAACAAACCAAGGCUACUUCACACUCAAAAGGAAGAGAAUCACUGGCUGCUGGGGCGAUGCCAGACCCCAGCACACUAUGGAACAUCACGCCCACACACCGGGACACUCUGAGUCAGCCUGGACCCCCUGCCAGACACCGAGGGGGCUCACGGCCAUCCGUCCCACACAAACACACACACACACACA